rnacentral:lncRNA from 1 species
UGUCAAUCAAGCCAUAAACAAACUAGAAAAUAAAUAAAUAACAAUCUUAAAAUCCUAAAUCUUCUUACUCCACAAGCUUGAAAUUUUGGCAACUCCAGGAAAUUCAGUGAAACUCUCAAGGUGCUGAAGAUUACCGAAAAAGGAUUGUCAUCAGAGCCAUCACACAGGUAGUCAUUGUCCCUGAUGCUCCCCUGACUGGAAUUGCUCCUGAUGAAAUGCAAGCUCAUCCACCCUGUGUGACUAAAGGUAUUAAAAGCUAUGAAGAAUAUGGACAGGGAUGCCAACACAGCAUGGCUUGAUGAGCAGCGUGCAGAUCCACGCCCAGGAUCUGAGCUCACGAACCCUGGGCUGCCAAAGAGGAGCACAGGAACUUAACCACUAUGGAACCGGGCUGGCCCUGAAAAGUUCUAACAUACAUGAAACUUGAGUUCAGAGAAGAGUGGCCUAUGAAAACAACUUGAAAGUAGCUAAUGAAGAUACUCAGAGGCCAGUUGAGCUGAAAGUCUUCCCAAGAAAACAGCCCUAUAUUCCAAAUGCUUUAGCUAUAUCCUCUAUCACCAAGAUGACCAAGGACAUGAACCAAAUGCAACAUACACAAAAACAAAUAAGCAAUGAAGUUUAUGAGAAAAGAAGGUUGAAGAACAAUACACCUUUUCUACCACAGCAAUGCUAUUCUGCAGGGUGGGAUGCGUUCCUCUGGAAGGAUACAGCCAGAAUUGCCCCUCGUUGCCUCAGAAAGUUUUGGAAUUGGAAGUGUGGGGGCGUUUAGGCCCUGAGGAAGUCUGGGUGGUGGGCCACGUCCCCACGCCUCAGCUGACCCUAACGAAAAUGGGGAGCAGUCCACCCUUCCCCUUCCUCUACCUUUCCUGGAGCAGAAGGGAGGAGAGAACUCGCAGCUCUGAAAAGGACCAGAGAUAGGAAUAUUUUCCUGAAAACCGUAACUUACCUUCAUUUAGAAAACGUUGCUGAUUCCUGAGUAUCUCACAGUUGCUGGCUGGAUGCAGUUCCUCAAGGCCUGUUGGACUGAGAGCCUCAAUUCCUGGAUGGCUGUUGGCUGGAGUUGGCUGGAGGCAACCUUCAGUUCCUUGUCAUGUAGGCCUUGAGGAACUGCAUCCAGCCAGCAACUGUAGAAGUGAUCGAAGAAGUGUGUAUUUCCCCAGUCAAGCCUUCAGAUGAGACCCCAGCCCCAGCUGACACCUUAAUUGCAGCCUUGUGAGAGACCUUGGAGCAGAGAACCCAGGUAGGCCUUGCCUACAUUCCUCACCAACAGAAACUAUGAAUUAAUAAAUACUUGGUUUUUUAAGCCACUAACUUUUGGGGUAUUUGUUAUAUAGUAACUAACACACCCCUAAAUUACUGUAACCUUGGUGUAAGAUGCAGCAUGGCUGGGAAGGCAGGCAGCAGAUGAGAGGACAACCUCCUUGACAACAUUCCUGGAGAUACUGUCUUCAAU